GGGCCUUUAGCUCAGUUGGUAGAGCAACCGGCUCAUAACCGGUCGGUCCGGGGUUCGAAUCCCUGAAGGCCCACCA
rnacentral:tRNA from 1 species